CUCUCUGCCUCUCUCUCUCUCUGCAUAUGAGAUAUCCCACUAGACACAGAUGUCAGUUCAACAUUUAGUUUUGACUCACAUUUGGUUGAGUUGUCAACUAAAGUAAAUUUCACAUGAAAAUAAACCUUCAGACAUAGUUACCAGACCCGGACUCAGGGAUGGCUAACCCUGGAGAUCCCUUGAAUCUCCACCGAGAUUUGAUGCUCUGGAGCCUGGUGUUGUUGUUGCCAAGGAGCUCAGUCAAGACCAGAUUCAGCUGCUGUGCAACGCUGACAUCCUUCCUUCCAUAUAUGGUCUGCCUGUACAAUCACCACCUGGACUGGACACAGCUAGACAAAUGUAUAUUUUUGAGAAGAUUAGGGAGUUUUGCGACGAAGAGGCUAUGUACAUCACAUGCCCUGCACCAAAGUCAAGGGCAGGACAGAAACAGGCUCUCCGAAUAUAGAUUCCCUUGUUUUAUGCGUAGUUCGGAUAGACCAGUUUAUUUACAUAAGUAUUCAGACCCUUUGCUAUGAG
rnacentral:lncRNA from 1 species